rnacentral:ribozyme from 14 species
UGAUAAAAAAAAAAAAAAAAAAAAAAAAAAAAAAAAAAAAGCCAAUUUACCUGGGAACAGUUCUGCCUUGUUUUUC